UCAUCGUAGGGUUAGUCGGGUCCUAAGUCGAGUCCGAAAGGGGUAGACGAUGGCAAAUAGGUUAAUAUUCCUAUACUUAUAAUAGAGCGUGAUGUGGGGACGCAUAGAGUUAAUCGAGCUGGCUGAUGGAAUAGCUGGUCGAAGGACGUAGGUUGUACAGUAGGCAAAUCCGCUGUACAUUAGACCGAGAUCUUACAGGCCGAACAAUACUUUCGAGUAGCGUUUGGAAUCGAUAAUACUGUCGUGCCAAGAGAAGCCACUAAGCAUAUCUAUUAUGACCCGUACCGUAAACCGACACAGGUGGGUGGGAUGAGUAUUCUAAGGCGCGUGGAAGAACCCUGGUUAAGGAACUCUGCAAACUAGCACCGUAUCUUCGGUAGAAGGUGUGCCUACUUUGGUAUUAGGGAUUUACUCCCGAAAGCUAGAGAGGUUGCAACAAAGAGUCCCUCCCGACUGUUUAC
rnacentral:rRNA from 1 species